CCCGCCCUUGCCCUCUUCCCUUUCUUUCCCCGCGCCUUUGUCUCCGCCUCGCUCCCCCUUUGUGUCUCUGGGAAGACUCGGCCUUAGAUACCAGCGACCCCCCACCCGGCCGGCUGUCGGUGACCCCACAGGCCCCCAGGACGCACGGCCCGCUGCCCUGCGGAGAGCACGUUUGGGGAAGAAGUGGCAGUGAGGCCGCCACCCUCACACUUGGCACCUUGCCCGCUCCUUUUUCCUUCCCCUAGCAGCUCCCCCUGUCCUCUUCAUCUCCAAGAAGGAGGACCUACUGUUGGCACUAUCACUUUGGCCUAAAGUAGUUUUUCUCCCCUUUCCGAAUGCAUAUUUGCGGAACAGAGCCACCCGCUCUGGCUGCUAAGAAGAGGCCAUUCAGCUGGUGCAGCAGCGCUGUAGGCUCCCUGCCUGGAGCCCAAUACGGAGCUUGAAGUCAUGACCCCGAGAUCAAGAUCUGAGCUGAGAUCAAGAGUUGGAUGCCUAACCGACAGAGCCACCCAGAUAUCAAACAGAAGCACAAGGUUGUUGAGAGUAUGAAGAAAGAGAAUUCUUACUGUGUAGAUUCCAGGAGGAGAGUAAACAUUGUUUUGAAGGAAUGGUCAUUUGGAAGAGUGUGUCCCUUAACCAGUAUGAGAUAGAGCAACUGGCAGAGCACGACAUAUGUUCAUCAGCUGUCUGGAGCUCAUGUAUUUGUAUACCAGCAAAGACCAGAAGGUCCAAAAGUAUGCACCUGAGAGUCAUGAGCAACAGCAGGUGAAAUCCAACUCGGCACGUAACUGUGGGCGAACCAAUCCAUUGCCUGGGCUGAGCUAAUCAGGCUCUGUCUUAUGGGGAUUUGAAAUUUGGACAUCAGUAAGAUGAGGGAGCUGCCAGAACUGAAAGUUUGUUCCAAGCAAACCGUGUUGAAAGCAGGGGAAGCCUACUGAAAGAGCGAGGUGAAGAAAGAAGAACAUGACUGAGACGAAAUGCAUGUAGAGGGAAUAACUCUGGUUUCUGGUUUUCCAGUUUCAGUUCUAAUUCCAACUUGGCCUAUAUCUCAUUUGUUUCCUGUCUGUGCUUCCCAUUCUCUUUAGGAUCGCCUGUUGCAUCUUUACAAUAAAAUUCUCUAUG